UGGACAAACUCCAUGAGUUAAUAGGAAAGUGCCCUAGAUAGGGAUUUGGGGAUCUAUUUCAUAAGGUAACUGAAUAAAUGUGUCCCACUUUGGGAAGUAUUUGGUGGGGGAUAAAGAUCCCUUUUGUUAGGCAUCUGGGUAAAUAGAUCUUCUCUGGAAUGUCUUGGAAACCCUAAGUAUACUCAAAUACGAGAAGGGAGCAGUAAGCUUGAAGAGUAUCGGGAGAACAGUUUACAAGAGGAAGAUGGACAGGUAAAACUGCGAAGUACAGAGCUGUACGAAUGUCGGUAGUAUGUGGGUACAAUCUCUUCUGUGUUGGGAGGGAGAAGGCAAUAACCUCUCCUACGGCGCCACCUUCGGGCGCUUCUUGCUCACCAUUGCUGCGCCGCCGUCAACUCCAGCAGCCUCCAUCUUAACGCUUUCUGCGCAGGCGCCCUAGAGCCCCAGGGUCCAGCCUAGAGCAGAGCCCCGCCCCUGCCCACACCCCUCUCCUCUGGAGCCAGCCAACCGCCCCUCCCCACCAGUGUUUCUCGAAGGGGUCCUGGAGUAGUUGGCUUGUCUUUACGUACUCGAGUGCUCUCUGUGCAGGCUGCUGGGCAACAGAGAAGAAAUACUCAGAGCCUGCCUUUGGGCAGAUCACAGUCUUAUGAGGGAAGACAGACAAAUUGAGACUUCUACUCCAGCUUUUCUUCUGGAAUUUUCCCAAAUGAAAGGCCAAUGUGCACUCCUAGGCCUACUCCUCUGUCCUGUACUGGCAGCCUCAGCCCUCUACCAAUCUCCAGAGGCACACAUCUCCCCAGAAGACCCUUACCUUGUCUUCACAACAUGGACUAGUUUUCACUAGCGUAUGUCAUCUGCUACUCUUCUGGACCUUUUGCAGGGAGCUGAUGCCCUGAAUCCCAUGACUCUGUUAACUGGAUUGGUGGUCUCAGGUCCAGGCCAAGAUGCUAGCCCAUUACCUGCUUUACUGCGUGGUGCUUAUCCAAAACUCCUUUAGGUCCCACCACUUGUGAGGUGGUGAGGAGGGAGGAGGCAGCGAAGGGCCAGGGGUACAAAAUCUACCAUUAUACAGGAUAGUCAUUUCUACAGUUUUCCACACUUUAGCAGAAUUACCAGACCCCAAAGGCUGCUAUAAGAUAAUUUAUUACACACUAGCCAAAAAUGUCCUGUAACAAUGGCACAUACAAUAAUUAACAACAGCAAAGAUG